UGCCUUCUUGCAGUGUGCCCGGGUGCCGCUCGCGCGCGAUAAGAAAGGAACCGGGCGUCACCUUCCACGCCUUUCCCAAAGAUCCCCAUCGUCGGAGGCUAUGGAUCGAAGCCAUAAGACCCGGUCAACGCGACUGGGAACCGGCGAAGUCGGCUUGCGUGUGCUCAAAACACUUUGCACUUGAACAAUUCAAUCGGGCGUCGCCGCUGGUAGUUCGCCUCCACGAGGAUGCCGUCCCUGCCCUGGUAAGAGACCGCAAUAACUGCGCCCUGGAGAUUGUCCAAUAAAUUUCCAACUUUGUGCUUCAUGUUUA
rnacentral:lncRNA from 1 species